UGAAAGAUUAAAAAUUAAAGGUAAGAUAAUGAAAACGGGUGCAACCACUGAUUUAGGUUGGAAGUCGGGGAGGUAGGAUAUAGACAGAAAUUUAAGGUAUAUCUGUAAGUAAUGAUGAACCAUUACUUACAAAAAACGAUUCUGAGCAAAGUUUAGUUGAUAGUGAUGCUUUGUCAACAAUAUAUAUGUCAUUUUAUAGUAAAAAAAAUAAUUAAAUAGGCUUUAUACAUUUUCAUUAAUAAAAUUUAUUUAAUUUUGUACAGAUUUCCCGGUUUUCCAUGUUUUAUUCCUUUUUUUUCACAUUUGGUGUGAAAACUCUUGAGAAAAUCAAAAAAAUGAUCUCUUAAAAGUACCUCGCUAUUGAAAUUUCAUUUUAAUAAAUAUUGCUACCAUAAAAAGUUAAAGUAAACUUGAUAGUAGAAAAGUUGUUUACAGAAAAAAAGAAGGCCGUAAUAUAGUUUAACAAAUACUUACAUUUCUUAUAUAUUUUCACUUUUUUU